rnacentral:rRNA from 1 species
UAUAUCGUCAGCGUCCAAGCGAAAGCGUUAAGUUAUCCACCUGGGGGAGUACGAUCGCAAGAUUGAAACUCAAAGGAAUUGACGGGGGCCCGCACAAGCGGAGGAGCAUGUGGUUUAAUUCGAUGAUACGCGAGGAACCUUACCUGGGCUCAAACGUAGAGUGACCAUCUGUGAAAACAGAUUUUCCUUCGGGACAGUCUACGAGGUGCUGCAUGGUUGUCGUCAGCUCGUGCCGUGAGGUGUCGGGUUAAGUCCCAUAACGAGCGCAACCCCUAUCUUUAGUUGCCAUCAGAUAAUGCUGGGGACUCUAAAGAAACUGCCUACGCAAGUAGUGAGGAAGGUGGGGAUGACGUCAAAUCAGCACGGCCCUUACGUCCAGGGCUACACACGUGCUACAAUGGUCGAUACAGAGGGCAGCUACCUGGUGACAGGAUGCAAAUCUCGAAAAUCGAUCUCAGUUCGGAUCGAAGUCUGCAACUCGACUUCGUGAAGUUGGAUUCGCUAGUAAUCGCAUAUCAGCCAUGAUGCGGUGAAUACGUUCCCGGGCCUUGUACACACCGCCCGUCAAGCCAUGGAAGCUGGGAGUACCUGAAGUACGUGACCGUAAGGAGCGUCCUAGGGUAAAACUAGUAACUGGGGCUAAGUCGUAACAAGAUAGCCG